rnacentral:rRNA from 1 species
AGCUUGCUCCACCGGAAAAAGAGGAGUGGCGAACGGGUGAGUAACACGUGGGUAACCUGCCCAUCAGAAGGGGAUAACACUUGGAAACAGGUGCUAAUACCGUAUAACAAUCGAAACCGCAUGGUUUUGAUUUGAAAGGCGCUUUCGGGUGUCGCUGAUGGAUGGACCCGCGGUGCAUUAGCUAGUUGGUGAGGUAACGGCUCACCAAGGCGACGAUGCAUAGCCGACCUGAGAGGGUGAUCGGCCACAUUGGGACUGAGACACGGCCCAAACUCCUACGGGAGGCAGCAGUAGGGAAUCUUCGGCAAUGGACGAAAGUCUGACCGAGCAACGCCGCGUGAGUGAAGAAGGUUUUCGGAUCGUAAAACUCUGUUGUUAGAGAAGAACAAGGAUGAGAGUAACUGUUCAUCCCUUGACGGUAUCUAACCAGAAAGCCACGGCUAACUACGUGCCAGCAGCCGCGGUAAUACGUAGGUGGCAAGCGUUGUCCGGAUUUAUUGGGCGUAAAGCGAGCGCAGGCGGUUUCUUAAGUCUGAUGUGAAAGCCCCCGGCUCAACCGGGGAGGGUCAUUGGAAACUGGGAGACUUGAGUGCAGAAGAGGAGAGUGGAAUUCCAUGUGUAGCGGUGAAAUGCGUAGAUAUAUGGAGGAACACCAGUGGCGAAGGCGGCUCUCUGGUCUGUAACUGACGCUGAGGCUCGAAAGCGUGGGGAGCAAACAGGAUUAGAUACCCUGGUAGUCCACGCCGUAAACGAUGAGUGCUAAGUGUUGGAGGGUUUCCGCCCUUCAGUGCUGCAGCUAACGCAUUAAGCACUCCGCCUGGGGAGUACGACCGCAAGGUUGAAACUCAAAGGAAUUGACGGGGGGCCCGCACAAGCGGUGGGAGCAUGUGGUUUAAUUCGAAGCAACGCGAAGAACCUUACCAGGUCUUGACAUCCUUUUGACCACUCUAGAGAUAGGAGCUUCCCCUUCGGGGGCAAAGUGACAGGUGGGUGCAUGGUUGUCGUCCAGCUCUUGUCGUG